AGUUAUGAUGAAAAUGUUAACCUUGAAUGGAGGAGUAAUCUGAUCAGUUUUUCCAUUCUAGUAUUCUAAAUCACAAAGUUGCUCAUAGCUGAUA
rnacentral:snoRNA from 1 species